rnacentral:rRNA from 1 species
UACGUAGGGGGCAAGCGUUGUCCGGAAUCAUUGGGCGUAAAGCGCGCGUAGGCGGCUUGGUAAGUCGGCUGUGAAAGUCCAGGGCUCAACCCUGGGAUGCCGGUGGAUACUGUCGAGCUCGAGUCCGGAAGAGGCGAGUGGAAUUCCUGGUGUAGCGGUGAAAUGCGCAGAUAUCAGGAGGAACACCAAUGGCGAAGGCAGCUCGCUGGGACGUGACUGACGCUGAGACGCGAAAGCGUGGGGAGCAAACAGG